GAAAGACAGGCCCCGAGGGGGAAGAUCUGCAGCGGAGAAGCUCCCGCAGCUUCCGAACUCUCCGGCCGACGGAGAUUUUUUUCUCCAUCACAGUUUUUGGGGCUGCGGUUAUGCAAAGGAGUAGCUGGGAGUGUGAUUGGAAAGGCUCGCCCGGCGCUGAGAUGCAGCCACCUCUGGGGUGGGGCAGAUGAGAAACAGCCCCAGAGUGUUA